GCAGGACGCGGUGGCCCGUGCCUGUAGUCCCAGCUACUCGGAAGGCUGAGGUGGGAGGAUUGCUUGAGUCCAGGGGUUCUGGGCUGUAGUGCGCUGUGCUGAUUAGGUGUCCGCACUAAGUUCAGCAUCAGUAUGGUGACCUCCCAGGAGCGGGGGACCACCAGGUUGCCUAAGAAGGGGUAAACCCGCCCAGGUCAGAAACGGAGCAGGUCAAAACUCCCGUGCUGAUCAGUAGCGGGAUCGCGCCUGCGAAUAGCCACUCCACUCCAGCCUGGGCAACAUAGCAAGGCCCCAUCUCU
rnacentral:SRP_RNA from 1 species